GGAUAGGGUACAGGUUAGGAUAGGGUACAGGUUAGGAUAGGAUACAGGUUAUGGUUACAGGUUAGGAUAGGGUACAGGUUAUGGUUACAGGUUAGGAUAGG